rnacentral:tRNA from 1 species
GGGGGUAUAGAGUGGUAAAGUGCAUGCUUAGUAUGUACAAGGUCCUGGGUUCAAUUCCCAGUACCUCCA